CCUACGGGAGGCAGCAGUGGGGAAUAUUGGACAAUGGGCGAAAGCCUGAUCCAGCAAUGCCGCGUGAGGGAUGAAGGCCUUCGGGUUGUAAACCUCUUUCGACAGGGACGAAGCGCAAGUGACGGUACCUGGAGAAGAAGCGCCGGCCAACUACGUGCCAGCAGCCGCGGUAAU
rnacentral:rRNA from 1 species